rnacentral:rRNA from 1 species
GACGAACGCUGGCGGCGUGCCUAAUACAUGCAAGUAGAACGCACAGUUUAUACCGUAGCUUGCUACACCAUAAACUGUGAGUUGCGAACGGGUGAGUAACGCGUAGGUAACCUGCCUGGUAGCGGGGGAUAACUAUUGGAAACGAUAGCUAAUACCGCAUAAUAUUAAUUAUUGCAUGAUAAUUGAUUGAAAGAUGCAAUUGCAUCACUACCAGAUGGACCUGCGUUGUAUUAGCUAGUAGGUGAGGUAACGGCUCACCUAGGCGACGAUACAUAGCCGACCUGAGAGGGUGAUCGGCCACACUGGGACUGAGACACGGCCCAGACUCCUACGGGAGGCAGCAGUAGGGAAUCUUCGGCAAUGGACGAAAGUCUGACCGAGCAACGCCGCGUGAGUGAAGAAGGUUUUCGGAUCGUAAAGCUCGGUUGUAAGAGAAGAACGGGUGUGAGAGUGGAAAGUUCACACUGUGACGGUAACUUACCAGAAAGGGACGGCUAACUACGUG